GACGAACGCUGGCGGCGUGCCUAAUACAUGCAAGUUGAGCGCUGAAGGUUGGUACUUGUACCAACUGGAUGAGCAGCGAACGGGUGAGUAACGCGUGGGGAAUCUGCCUUUGAGCGGGGGACAACAUUUGGAAACGAAUGCUAAUACCGCAUAAAAACUUUAAACACAAGUUUUAAGUUUGAAAGAUGCAAUUGCAUCACUCAAAGAUGAUCCCGCGUUGUAUUAGCUAGUUGGUGAGGUAAAGGCUCACCAAGGCGAUGAUACAUAGCCGACCUGAGAGGGUGAUUGGCCACAUUGGGACUGAGACACGGCCCAAACCCCUACGGGAGGCAGCAGUAGGGAAUCUUCGGCAAUGGACGAAAGUCUGACCGAGCAACGCCGCGUGAGUGAAGAAGGUUUUCGGAUCGUAAAACUCUGUUGGUAGAGAAGAACGUUGGUGAGAGUGGAAAGCGCAUCAAGUGACGGUAACUACCCAGAAAGGGGCGGCUAACUACGU
rnacentral:rRNA from 1 species